GUAGGGUGCAAGCGUUAAUCGGAAUUACUGGGCGUAAAGCGUGCGCAGGCGGUUUUGUAAGUCUGUCGUGAAAGCCCCGGGCUCAACCUGGGAAUUGCGAUGGAGACUGCAAGGCUUGAAUCUGGCAGAGGGGGGUAGAAUUCCACGUGUANCANUGAAAUGCGUAGAGAUGUGGAGGAACACCGAUGGCGAAGGCAGCCCCCUGGGUCAAGAUUGACGCUCAUGCACGAAAGCGUGGGGAGCAAACAGGAUUAGAUACCCUGGUAGUCCACACCCUAAACGAUGUCUACUAGUUGUCGGGUUUUAAUUAACUUGGUAACGCAGCUAACGCGUGAAGUAGACCGCCUGGGGAGU
rnacentral:rRNA from 1 species